rnacentral:rRNA from 1 species
AGGGGGUUACGAUGUCGAAUUUGGAGGUUGUGCCCUUGAGGCGUGGCUUCCGAAGCUAACGCGUUAAAUCGACCGCCUGGGGAGUACGGCCGCAAGGUUAAAACUCAAAUGAAUUGACGGGGGCCCGCACAAGCGGUGGAGCAUGUGGUUUAAUUCGAUGCAACGCGAAGAACCUUACCUACUCUUGACAUCCAGCGAAUCCUGUAGAGAUACGGGAGUGCCUUCGGGAACGCUGAGACAGGUGCUGCAUGGCUGUCGUCAGCUCGUGUUGUGAAAUGUUGGGUUAAGUCCCGCAACGAGCGCAACCCUUAUCCUUUGUUGCCAGCGGUUCGGCCGGGAACUCAAAGGAGACUGCCAGUGAUAAACUGGAGGAAGGUGGGGAUGACGUCAAGUCAUCAUGGCCCUUACGAGUAGGGCUACACACGUGCUACAAUGGCGUAUACAAAGAGAAGCGAACUCGCGAGAGCAAGCGGACCUCAUAAAGUACGUCGUAGUCCGGAUUGGAGUCUGCAACUCGACUCCAUGAAGUCGGAAUCGCUAGUAAUCGUGGAUCAGAAUGCCACGGUGAAUACGUUCCCGGGCCUUGUACACACCGCCCGUCACACCAUGGGAGUGGGUUGCAAAAGAAGUAGGUAGCUUA